rnacentral:tRNA from 1 species
GGCAGUGUAGCAUAGUGGUUAAGGAGCUGGGCUUGUAACUGAAAGGUUGCCGGUUCAAUUCCUAGCUGGGGCACUGCUG